rnacentral:rRNA from 1 species
CAGCCGCCGCGGUAAUACAGAGGGUGCGAGCGUUAAUCGGAUUUACUGGGCGUAAAGCGUGCGUAGGCGGCUUCUUAAGUCGGAUGUGAAAUCCCUGAGCUUAACUUAGGAAUUGCAUUCGAUACUGGGAAGCUAGAGUAUGGGAGAGGAUUGUAGAAUUCCAGGUGUAGCGGUGAAAUGCGUAGAGAUCUGGAGGAAUACCGAUGGCGAAGGCAGCCAUCUGGCCUAAUACUGACGCUGAGGUACGAAAGCAUGGGGAGCAAACAGGAUUAGAUACCCCCGUAGUCCCUGUCUCUUAUAA